GAGUUUGAUCCUGGCUCAGGAUGAACGCUGGCGGCGUGCUUAACACAUGCAAGUCGAACGGAGAUAAGCGCUGAAGAAGCUUCGGUGGAUUCAUGUUUAUCUUAGCGGCGGACGGGUGAGUAACGCGUGGGUAACCUGCCCUGUACAGGGGGAUAACACUUAGAAAUAGGUGCUAAAACCGCAUAAGCGCACAGUACCGCAUGGUACAGUGUGAAAAACUCCGGUGGUACAGGAUGGACCCGCGUCUGAUUAGCUAGUUGGAGGGGUAACGGCCCACCAAGGCGACGAUCAGUAGCCGGCCUGAGAGGGUGAACGGCCACAUUGGGACUGAGACACGGCCCAAACUCCUACGGGAGGCAGCAGUGGGGAAUAUUGCACAAUGGGGGAAACCCUGAUGCAGCGACGCCGCGUGAGUGAAGAAGUAUUUCGGUAUGUAAAGCUCUAUCAGCAGGGAAGAUAAUGACGGUACCUGACUAAGAAGCCCCGGCUAACUACGUGCC
rnacentral:rRNA from 1 species